rnacentral:rRNA from 1 species
ACUCCUACGGGAGGCAGCAGUGGGGAAUAUUGCACAAUGGGCGCAAGCCUGAUGCAGCCAUGCCGCGUGUAUGAAGAAGGCCUUCGGUUGUAAGUACUUUCUAGCAGUGAGGAAGGUGGGUAGUGUUAAUAGCAUACUCAUUUUGACGUUUAGCUGCAGAAGAAGCACCGGCUAACUCCGUGCCAGCAGCCGCGGUAAUACGGAGGGUGCGAGCGUUAAUCGGAAUUACUGGGCGUAAAGCGCAUGCAGGUGGUUUGUUAAGUCAGAUGUGAAAGCCGGGGCUCAACCUCGGAAUUGCAUUUGAAACUGGCAAACUAGAGUACUGUAGAGGGGGUAGAAUUUCAGGUGUAG